UACAGAGGGUGCUAGCGUUGUUCGGAAUCAUUGGGCGUAAAGGGCGUGUAGGCGGUUUGUUAAGUCAUGUGUGAAAUCCCUCGGCUCAACCGGGGAACGACGCAUGAAACUGGCAAGCUAGAGUACCAAAGAGGGGGGUGGAAUUCCUGGUGUAGCGGUGAAAUGCGCAGAUAUCAGGAGGAACACCGGUGGCGAAGGCGGGUCUCUGGGCCGAUAUUGACGCUGAGGAGCGAAAGCGUGGGGAGCGAACAGG
rnacentral:rRNA from 1 species